AGGAAGAAAGGGGAUUAGAGAUAUGCAAAAUUCUGCAAUUUUCAUUAAUCAUCAAAAGUCCUUCUCAAAAUAACAAAAGAACAUAUAAAUAGUAAACCCUAAAAGUAAACCCUAAAACAUCCUGCUAUUUGGGCUCGGCCCAUCAAAUCGAAUUGUUUAACAUAAAUAACAAUGAGCAGGCCCAGGUGGGCUAAAUAAAAUAAAUAACAAUAAGCAGACCCAAACGGGAUAAAUAAAAUAACAAUGAAAUAGGCCCACAUGGGCUUAGUCCCCCAACCAAAGCGUGACAGGCUGGGCCAUCCUGCGCCGUCUCCGUCCAUAUACUCGUGUAAUCUGUGGUGUGGGCCUGGUGUCCCCACCAA
rnacentral:lncRNA from 1 species